rnacentral:lncRNA from 1 species
AAGUGUUAGAUGCGACUCGAAAUUGAUUAUCGACUCAAAUUCGGGUUUUCGACUCGCCGACAGCUUCGCGGUACGACCAAAUUGGAAAACAAUUUUGUGAAGGAAAAAUGAAUGUAUGUGGUUGGUAGUGGAGGGCUCGGAUCUAAAUAUUAAUUUGAUUAGGAAGUAUUUAAUAACUAGAACAACCAAAAUAGUACUGUAAUUACAGCGGUGUGAGGGGCGGAGCCCCCCGCGGUACUGAUCAGAUCCGAAAUCUGUUAUGAAUUUUCUUCUCGUUUUUGGCCCUAGAUGCGUGAGAUCGUGGUCGGUUGUAAUCUGAAGAACAUUGUAUUCCCUUUCGUUUCGAUAGUGAAGUUCUCUCCUCUCUCGCUCGUGAUUUUUUCUAGCAAAAAAUUUUUCACGUAAAUCUGUGUGUUAUCUUUAUUUUUUUCUUGUGGUUUGAGUGUUUCGUAUUCGUCAUUUUGUUUCCGUUUGUGCGUUUGUCGUAACACGAAGGGAUAAAUCAAUAUAUUAAAACUUAUUAAUA